GGAAGAGCUCAAAUUUGAAAUCUGGCGUGCUCAGUGCGUCCGAGUUGUAAUCUAUAGAGUCGUUUUCCGUGCCGGACUGUGUCCAAGUCCCUUGGAACAGGGUAUCAAAGAGGGUGAUAAUCCCGUACUUGACACAAUGACCGGUGCUCUGUGAUACGUCUUCUACGAGUCGAGUUGUUUGGGAAUGCAGCUCAAAAUGGGUGGUGAGUUCCAUCUAAAGCUAAAUAUUGGCGAGAGACCGAUAGCGAACAAGUACCGUGAGGGAAAGAUGAAAAGCACUUUGGAAAGAGAGUUAAACAGUACGUGAAAUUGUUAAAAGGGAAACGAUUGAAGUCAGUCGUGACUGAGAGGCUCAGCCGGUUCUGCCGGUGUAUUCCCCUCAGUCGGGUCAACAUCAGUUUUGUUCGGUGGAUAAGGGCAGUUGGAAGGUGGCACCCUCGGGUGUGUUAUAGCCAGCUGUCGCAUACAUCGGAUGAGACUGAGGAAUGCAGCUCGCCUUUAUGGCCGGGGUUCGCCCACGUUCGAGCUUAGGAUGUUGACAUAAUGGCUUUAAACGACCCGCUGA
rnacentral:rRNA from 1 species